rnacentral:rRNA from 1 species
UACGGAGGGUGCGAGCGUUGUCCGGAAUCACUGGGCGUAAAGGGCGCGUAGGUGGCCCGUGGAAGUCUGCGGUGAAAGCCCGGCGCUCAACGCCGGGUCGGCCGUGGAUACUCUCGGGCUUGAGCUCACUAGAGGCAGAUGGAAUUCCUGGUGUAGCGGUGGAAUGCGCAGAUAUCAGGAGGAACACCGGUGGCGAAGGCGGGUCUCUGGGCCGAUACUGACGCUGAGAAGCGAAAGCAUGGGGAGCGAACAGG